rfam:Polysphondylium pallidum PN500 unplaced genomic scaffold PPL_contig15, whole genome shotgun sequence.
GAUCUCAUUGCAGCAAUCAAAUCAAUUCUCAAUUUAACUGAAAAAUCCUGAGAUCUG